ACAACAGCCAGCAUAUUGAUCUGGGUUGUUGUGUACUAAUCUUGUUGUGUAUCCUUCAGGGAGAUGGUGGCAGGGUACAAAUAAAGCUUUAUUAUUAUUAUUAUUAUUAUUAUUAUUAUUAUUAUUAUUAUUAUUAUUAAUUAGUUCCUUGACAAAAUUGAAGGAAAAGCUGAUAAGGAGAAGACCUGGCUAUGGCUCACGAUGGGACCCUGAAGAAGGAGACAGAAGGCCUGAUCCUUGCAGCUUAGGAGCAAGCCAUCAGAACAAAUGCAAUUAAGGCCAAGAUUGAAAAAUCAGCUGAUGACCCAAAAUGCAGACUGUGCAAGGAAAGCGACGAAACCAUUGAUCAUAUCCUCAGCUGCUGUAAAAAAAUCGCACAGACAGACUACUAACAGAGGCACAACCAUGUGGCCCAAAUGAUCCAUUAGAACUUAUGCCUCAAGUACCACCGCCCAGCAGUAAAGAACUGGUGGGAUCACAAACCUGCAAAAGUAUUGGAAAAUGAGCACGCAAAGAUACUGUGGGACUUCUGAAUCCAGACUGACAAAGUUCUGGAACACAACACACCAGACUUCACAGUUGUGGAAAAGAAAAAGGGUUGGAUCAUUGAUGUUGCCAUCCCAGGUGACAGUCGCAUUGAUGAAAAACAACAGGAAAAACUCAGCCGCUAUCAGGACCUCAAGACUGAACUUCAAAGACUCUGGCAGAAACCAGUGCAGGUCCACCACCACUGGGACCAUCUGCACUGGUUUCUGCCAGAGUCUUUGAAGUUCAAUCUUGAGGUCCUGAUAGCGGCUGAGUUUUUCCUGUUGUUUUUCGUCAAUGCGACUGUCAUCUGGGAUGGCAACAUCAAUGAUCUAAACCUUUUUCUUUUCCACAACUGUGAUGUCUGGUGUGUUGUGUUCCAGAACUUUGUCAGUCUGGAUUAGGACUGACAAAUAAUAAUAAUAAUAAUAAUAAUAAUAAUAAUAAUAAUAAUAAUUAUUAUUAUUAUUAUUAUUAUUAUUAUUAUUAUUAUUAUUAUUGGAGAAAACUAACUUACACUGUUCUCUCCUGUCUUUCCCUGUCUUCAGGGAUAGCCAGCCAUCCCAAUAAUUUAUCUAGUCAGAUCAUGGCGUGAUGGGGUGUGGCUUUAUUUGCUUAUACAAGAUAGCCACAAACACUUAUCUGCCUCUUUUCAUUUCUUUGGCCCUCCCUCCCACCUCCUAUGGCAGUGUAACUUGUAGUGCUCACUACAGGGCCAGGUAGGAAUUGCCCUCUUUUACAGGGCUUUGUUUUGUCUAUUUUAUACUGCUAUGGAGAUAUGGGCAAUUAGGGCAGUGUCAAUUUAAAUAGGUUUCCUAAGCCGUGAUCCUUCUACUAUCAUGGACCUGACACAGAAUCUCUGUCAAUUCACCUGGCUCACCAUCUCAUAGUUCAAAAGGCCAUCCAUAGUCAUACUCAGUGUCAGGCUAUUGCUAUCUGCCUGUCCCUGACUCAGAUGCUGGGUGAAGCAGCACUUCAUCUUCAUUCUCAUCACCAGCCCUGGCACAUUUGGUGUUGGAUGGGAAUUUUGAACUUCUCCUGAGUAAUAAUAAUAAUAAUAAUAAUAAUAAUAAUAAUAAUAAUAACUUUAUUUUAUAUGCCGCCAGCCAUCUCCCUGGGGGGACUCGGAGCGGCUCACAACAGUUAAAACAACAAGCAUCAUAUUAAAACAAGUUCAACAAAACAUAAUAUAAAAUAACAUAAUUAUAAAAUCACAAAUAUUAACAAGGUGAUCUAGGGCUUGAAAAGAAUAUCCCAUCCUUGGGGUUCGUUUCUGGGUCUUUGCCCUCACCAGGGGUCAAAGCAGUUCAGAGACUUACAUCCUCCAGCUAGCCUUGCAGUAUUUGAGGUGGACCUUUGAGCAACCUUAUUGAUAAGGGAAUGCUCUCAGGCCUUUGGUGUUUUCCUCAAGAAGAGACUAGGGACUCGAGUCAGGGGUGACCAACUGCCUCAGCCGCUCCAGUAUCAUAUUUGUUCCCCCAGAUUUGACUAACCAUCACCAAGAAACAUUUAAAAUGGUAACAAUUUGUAAAGUUGCCCUUGGUUUAUUCCACUUCUGUUAUCUGGUCUCUUUAUUCCUCUGGUUUGUUGGCAAUUAUUAUUUGGAAAACUCUUUGGUGAUUUUCAAAAUCUGUGUGAGUUUUUUCAUUUCCUAAUUGUCAUAUAUUUUGUGAAUAGAUUUUCUGAAUGAGUCUUAACGUGUUUAUCUUUAUUUGGGUGGAUAUUUUAAAAGCCUCCUUUUGAGAGCAUAGUAACCUACAAAGUUUAUGGAUCACUGUAACAGUUCAGGAAUACCCCAUUAAAUUAUUCUCAUUAGCACAUUUUACUUAGGCUCUCUUUUAAUUGCAUUGUAGCUAUAAUGUGGUCAACUUAUGUUCAUAACUGUAAUUAAAAUGAUGCUGACGGUUCUCAUAUGGCUUUCUCUCCCUCUACAAUUAAUUGAUGCUGAAAUUAGGUCUUUAAUAUUAAUGCAGUGUUUGAGACCUCUAGAUGAAAUGCUACAUCUAACUGUUUGGGGAGGUGAGUGCAGAAUACUUGUUAAAUGCUUAGAUCCUAGCUUUUGUUGUUUGUUCUUUGCCUAAAGUCUGAAAGCAAAUCUAUUUUGCAGAUUUAAAGUGGGAUUAAUACUCAUUUCAUUAUACCAAGGAAUUAUGGGAAGUAUACUUCUGUGAAGAGGGAUUAACAGAUUCUCAGCACGUUGGCCUGAGUGCCAUUCCGAAGUUAUUCUUAGGAAAAGCUUAUACUGGUAGAAAAUGCAUAUUCUUUGAGAGAAUGUACUAAUGGCAAUUUCCUCACAAAUCAAGCUCCAAUUCAGGAAGGACAGCUUUUAGGGAGCAUUGCAGUGACUAGCUAAAUUAGCUACUGCUGGUAGAAGUGGAACAUACAUUCUGCAAAGCCACAGUGUUCUUUUCAUUAAGUUAAGAUUUUUUGAUGUGUUAUUCUGAUUCUUAUUUGGACACAUUUCACUUGAAAGUCUGCCUGCCCAGAAUGAGAAAAGUGCUUUCUGCAUGGUAGAAACGGGUUGGACUGGGUGGCCCUUUGAGUUCCUCCUCCUAUUACUACUACUACUACUACUGCUACUACUUCAAAGGCUGGAUGUUCACCUAUUGGGGUGCUUUGAUUUGUGCUUUUAUUGCACAGCUGAAAUAGGUUGGACUAGGUGGCCCCUGGGGUAGCUAGCUAUUAUUAUUAUUAUUAUUAUUAUUAUUAUUAUUAUUAUUAUUUUAUUUUAUUUUAUUGUAUGACACAGCAAACAAGAUAGAUAUGCUGGAUUUCGUAUCACAAAAUCACAAGUUGAACACUUCCCAAGAGUCUAGGAUUGUGUGAUGUAUUUUCGGAUGAUACGUGCAGAUCCCAGUAGGGUGGCCUUUUGCAGGUGGCAGAUCGUAAUUUUGUCAAUGUCUAUUGUUUCCAAAUGAGAUCUUUUGGCAUGGCACCCAAUGUGCCGAUCACCACCGGGACCACCUGCACUGGUUUCUGCCAGAGUCUUUGAAGUUCAAUCUUGAGGUCCUGAUAGCAGCUGAGUUUUUCCUGUUGUUGUUCGUCAAUGCGACUGUCACCUGGGAUGGCAACAUUAAUGAUCUAAACCUUUUUCUUUUCCACAACUGUGAUGUCUGGUGUGUUGUGUUCCAGGACUUUGUGAUCCCACCAGUUCUUACCCUGCAGACUAGGACACAGAACAAUGGCUUCAAACUACAGGAAAGGAGAUUCCACCUGAACAUCAGGAAGAACUUCCUCACUGUGAGAGCUGUUCGACAGUGGAACUCUCUCCCCCGGGCUGUGGUGGAGGCUCCUUCCUUGGAGGCUUUUAAGCAGAGGCUGGAUGGCCAUCUGUCGGGGGUGCUUUGAAUGCGAUUUCCUGCUUCUUGGCAGGGGGUUGGACUGGAUGGCCCAUGAGGUCUCUUCCAACUCUACUAUUCUAGGUGGUACUUGAGGCAUAAGUUCCAACGAAUCAU
ensembl:lncRNA